CCGAAAUAGAUAUCAAAUGGUGGUUUAAGUCAGGUCAAACUUCAACAAGCGGACUUGCUUGGCUAAAAGACAACUUGGCGUCUAAAAUUGGACCAUCUCGAUAAUAUUUCCCUGUACGUGUGGCUAGGUACAUGUGACUUCACAGAUUAUAGUCGUUGUGAUAAGAUUAUCACAUUAAAACAUAACCCUGAGGAAGCAGCAUCACAACUUAUAAAUAAUUUAAAAGAAUUUGCAACCCUUCUAGCUGAAUAUUCUGGAUGUAAAAUCACAUUUCUAGAAAUCCCUAUAUUUUCUAUAUACAUUUGGAACCGUCUUCAUGAUCAUCCUGAUCCCAACAGAUUUAAAGCAGACGACAAUACAUUAAUCAAGCAAAUCCUAGCUGUAAAUGACCAGAUAAGAGCCUUAAACAACGAUCACUCGUCAAGAUCUCCAAGCUUCUCAGCCGACAUAUAUCAUCCAAUUUCCUGUAACUCGAAAAACACACACAGGCAUGGUAGAGACUUGUACAAUUUUAACUUAUACCUUGAUGGCAUUCAUCCAAAAAGUGCGUUAGCUAGAGUAUGGCUUCGUAAAUUAGCUCACAGAAUUAAGUUGGACUGUUGGUAAAAGAAAAUAAAAAAAAAAAAAAGAUAUUAUUAUAGAUAAUUUAGUUCUUUUAAAUUUUAAUAUACAACAAAUUUAUAUUCCACUUUUAUUAUAAAACUGUAUAAGGCGAUGGUGGGGCUUACCACAACGUCCUUACAGUAAUCGCAAUAAAUAUUUUGUUGGACAUAUAAUAUUUAUAUUGAAUAUUGCAACUUUCUUACCAUUUACAUCAUAAGUAUUUAGAAUUUUCAUGAUGAAUAUCCAACCGUAUAAAGUUGAUAACAUACAGAAAACCAACUUGGUUAGUGUACAUGCACUUGCUCAAAAUAGUUACAACAAUAACUACACUCUCAAUAUAGAAAAAUCACUGAAGAAAAAGCUUGAAAGUACUAAAAGAUCUGUAAUAGAGUAUGCCUAUACUGGCGGUGGCGUUACUAUCAAAAUGGACAC
rnacentral:lncRNA from 1 species